AGAGUUUGAUCCUGGCUCAGGACGAACGCUGGCGGCGUUAACACAUGCAAGUCGAGCGGAAAGGCCCUUCGGGGUACUCGAGCGGCGAACGGGUGAGUAACACGUGAGNNACCUGCCCCAGACUUUGGGAUAACCCUCGGAAACGGGGGCUAAUACCGAAUAUGACUUGGUAGCGCAUGCUAUCUGGUGGAAAGUUUUUCGGUUUGGGAUGGACUCGCGGCCUAUCAGCUUGUUGGUGGGGUAAUGGCCUACCAAGGCGACGACGGGUAGCCGGCCUGAGAGGGCGACCGGCCACACUGGGACUGAGACACGGCCCAGACUCCUACGGGAGGCAGCAGUGGGGAAUAUUGCACAAUGGGCGGAAGCCUGAUGCAGCGACGCCGCGUGAGGGAUGACGGCCUUCGGGUUGUAAACCUCUUUCAGCAGGGACGAAGCGCAAGUGACGGUACCUGCAGAAGAAGCGCCGGCCAACUACGUGCCAGCAGCCGCGGUAAGACGUAGGGCGCGAGCGUUGUCCGGAUUUAUUGGGCGUAAAGAGCUCGUAGGCGGCUUGUCGCGUCGACUGUGAAAACUCGGGGCUCAACUCCGAGCUUGCAGUCGAUACGGGCAGGCUAGAGUUCGGUAGGGGAGACUGGAAUUCCUGGUGUAGCGGUGAAAUGCGCAGAUAUCAGGAGGAACACCGAUGGCGAAGGCAGGUCUCUGGGCCGAUACUGACGCUGAGGAGCGAAAGCGUGGGGAGCGAACAGGAUUAGAUACCCUAGUAGUCC
rnacentral:rRNA from 1 species